rnacentral:rRNA from 1 species
UACGUAGGGUGCGAGCGUUGUCCGGAAUUAUUGGGCGUAAAGAGCUCGUAGGCGGUGCGUCACGUCGGCCGUGAAAACCUGCAGCUUAACUGUGGGCGUGCGGUCGAUACGGGCAUCACUGGAGUUCGGCAAGGGAGACUGGAAUUCCUGGUGUAGCGGUGAAAUGCGCAGAUAUCGGGAGGAACACCGGUGGCGAAGGCGGGUCUCUGGGCCGAUACUGACGCUGAGGAGCGAAAGCGUGGGGAGCGAACAGG